CAUAAAUUAUGACCGUGCUAAAGUUGUUAGAAGAUCUAGGAAAAAUGGCCAAAAUCUUAGGACGUAAUCACAUGGGGAUUUUCUUUGCUAAUCAUUUAAACACACUUUCUGAAUCAGUUGGUAGCAGAGUUGUAAGUAGAUUCUGCUGGUGACAAUUUCAAGAAACAUCAGAGUCAUCUUCACUAAGUUGAAUGUAUGCUUCUCAAAAUACCUUCUCAGAAAGUACCUCUGACAAAGAACCAGUAAAAUCCUCACGAUAAAUUCUCUCUCUGAUGAUGUUUAACCUCCAGUCUGCAGGAAGAAAUGUUUGAGACAAUGCUGUUGGUCACAUCUGAAGACCGUGAUGAAUCAUAGAAUGUUGUUUCUUGACUGAUAAUCCUCUUAAGGGUUUAGAAAAUUUUCACUGAGAGUUCAUAUUCACCUCCACACUGUUGCAUACAUUUUGUUUAUUCAAUACUUGUAUAAAAACCUGUAGUACCUUGAUGUAAACUCUGUGUUUUUACACGGUAACUUCUCUUCAUUGGAUUCCCUCUUCAGGUGAAGUCAUACUAUAAAUUAUGAUUUUUUUGGUGUCUGGCAUUUGAAAGAUAGUACAGAAUCAGGAGGCUGGAAGCUGUGUCAUUCAGUGGACCACAGAAAGAACCUAGGGCAAAGCUAGUUUUUUCUUUUUCUCAUCAGAACGCAUGAUCUGCAUUUUUUCCUCCAGUCUGAACAUUCUUAUGAUCUAGUUUCUCUAUCUUAAAAAAUCUGGAUUUGCACAUUCUAUUCCACAAAUAAGUCGCUUGUCUUUGCCUUGGGGUCUCUGCCUCCUCACUUGUAAACAGGAGACGUUAGCCAUGACCAUCGCCAAGCUCUGCUCUCACUCCAUGCUCUUGUGACUCCCUCUGGGCACGCGAAGAUCUCGCCUGUCAUAGUAUCCGGGGACACUUCCUGAGACCAUGAGCCAGUGGAGACUCCUGCUCGCUGUCACCGUGGAGCUGCGUAUUCUGGACGUUUUGUGUAAAUGAACUCGUAAGUGACUUUAUGUCUGCCUUCCGAUAUGACUUCAUUUUUCCCGGGUAUCUAGUUUAAUUUUCCUCACGAUCCCUCUCUUCUCUGGAUCUGCAGCCUCUCCUAUGUGAGAAGCCAGCACAGUUGUCUUCUCUUACUGGUGUGAGUUUCCUCUAAGGACACAGCUUCACGAGCUCACCACACAGCAAUGCUGCUUGCUGCUGUUCUGACAAACUCCGUCUUCCCUUUUUCCAACAUUUUCCAUGGAAACUUGCGUCGGCUCACUCUGGAAAGCAACAUGCCUGUCUGUGGGCUGAGAUACGGAGACCUCCCUGAUCUAUAAAGGAUUUCUAGACCUCCGCAGCAUCCCCUGGGCAAGCCAAGCCUGAGCGUCCCCAGAAAACCACUGGGGACCCUUCGGGGUCCAUCAGGCCUUCGUGUAAAAGAGACGACCUAUUCCAUAAAUAAGGUCCCAUUCAAAUAUCUUCUUUGCAAAUAUAUUAAAAUUCCAGAGAUCUAUUAGAAUAUAAAGUACAGAGGAAGGAAUAUUUCUUCUCCAAACAGAAGAAAAUAACAUUUAAAGGGCGGGUAUUUAGCACUGCUUUGGGUUUUUGGAGUGGGAGUAAGUGACCAGUAUUUAAAACAAAGGCUUGUCUCUUAAGAAGAAGAACAGAAUGAUAAAGGAACCCCGCGUAGACAAUAAAUGCACGUCUGUUUACAGCUCUGGGCCUCGGCUCUUUCUGGGAUGUUGACAUUCGCACGUUCUGGAGU
rnacentral:lncRNA from 1 species